rnacentral:lncRNA from 1 species
ACUGGAUCACAGUGUUUCUAUUCUCCUACAAGGCCCACGCUGUAGGGGUCCUUAAUGAAUACUCAUAACCACCCCUGCAAUAUCUGCAGACAACUUAGCCUGAGAAAGAUGCCAGAUUUUCCCAGGAAGCAGCUCAUGAACAGACCACAGGCCCUUCCUGGUGCUUGGGACCUGGACACCUCUAGACUGGCACCUUCCCCUGCCUUCCCAGCUCCAUGCCUGGACACCUCUAAUAGGAAAGAAGCUCAUGGCCACUCUCAGGGCCUGGAGUGGGGCUGAUGGGUCUCCCAACUCUGGGAAGGGGUGUCUUGGGCAGGUGAGGGUCCCGCUCCCAGGCCACUCCUUCCCAUCCCGUACUGCAGCCAGGCUCUUGCUGCCUGUUCUUAGUAGUUGGAAUAAUAGAUGAUUAUGAGGCUCUGGAGGGCAGCUGCUGAGAGG